UGCAUGGAUUUGACUGUUGGUCCACCUUCAUGAUGUUGGGACUGGCUGGUAUUAAGCCUGCAGGCUGUUUGAGCUGUUCAAGCUGUUUAAGUUACAAGGUACAAAGGGGCUUCUGUCGGACACCAGAAAAGUUAGUGGGUCUCUGCAGAGGACAACGAACAACUGACCUUGGACGUGAUUGAUGAGGACUCCUGCCUCAAACCCGUAAGGCCAUCACCUGGCCAGACAUGAACCAAAUACUCCAAGACAAGGAAUAGACCAGCAGUCAUUACCUGCCCUCUGAGGACAACUUUUAAGCCACAUAGCCCAGCCUGCAGGACCCAGAGGGUAGAGGAAAUGUCUUCCUCCUCUACAGUUUGGCAACUCUGUGGAACAAAACUUCAUCUACUGGACACUGAUCACUCCUGGACUUCUACAGCCAAGAGAUCCUGGACCCUUGACAAGAGCCUGUAGGAGGCAGUGGGUUUUACCUACACUACACAUCUCUGACUGGGAGCAAUCGAGAGGAAAGUGGUAUUACAGAAAGCGGUGUAGCAGGACUCAUCUUGACAAGGAGAUUCGUCGAACUGAAAUUGGUGCUGUUUGUAGACCUUGAAUGAUUAGCUAUCUCUGUACUAAUAUUCAGGGAUUCAAGCGAAGAAGACAAAUCAAUAGUGCUUAUAUUGUCACUGAUUAUAUUGUCAAAUCUAUGGCUAGGAUGUGCAAUUUUCUAUAAU
rnacentral:lncRNA from 1 species